AUCAACGCUGGCGGCGUGCCUAACACAUGCAAGUCGAACGUGAAAGUGGGGAGCAAUCCAUGAGUAGAGUGGCGAACGGGUGAGUAACACGUGACUAACCUACCUGAAGUGGGGGAUAACCUCGGAACCGGGGCUAAUACCGCAUAAGACCACGAGAUGAAAGUUCUUGAGGUCAAAGGAGCAAUCCGCUUUUGGAGGGGGUCGCGGCCGAUUAGCUAGUUGGUGAGGUAACGGCUCACCAAGGCGAUGAUCGGUAGCCGGCCUGAGAGGGCGCACGGCCACACUGGAACUGAAACACGGUCCAGACUCCUACGGGAGGCAGCAGUGGGGAAUUUUGCGCAAUGGGGCGCAACCUGACGCAGCAACGCCGCGUGGAGGAUGAAGUUCCUUCGGAAUGUAAACUCCUUUGACCGGGACGAAGAUCCUAGACCCGAGUUACGGUACCGGUGAAGGAAGCCCCGGCUAACUCUGUGCCAGCAGCCGCGGUAAUACAGAGGGUGCGAGCGUUGUUCGGAAUUACUGGGCGUAAAGGGCGCGUAGGCGGUGCCUUCUAGUCUGUACGUGAAAUCUCGGCUCAACUCGGAACUGCGUCCGAGAACUGCAGUGCUUGGAGUGCCGGGAGAGGAGAGUGCGAAUUCCAGGUGUAGCGGUGAAAUGCGUAGAUAUCUGGAGGAACACCUGUGGCGAAGGCGGCAUCCUGGACCGCAACUUGACGCUGAUGCGCGAAAGCCAGGGGAGCAAACGGGAUUAGAUACCCCGGUAGUCCUGGCCCUAAACGAUGAAUGCUUGGUGUGGCGGGUAUCGAUCCCUGCCGUGCCGAAGCUAACGCAUUAAGCGUUCCGCCUGGGGAGUGCGGGGUCGCAAGGCUGAAACUCAAAGGAAUUGACGGGGGCCCGCACAAGCGGUGGAGCAUGUGGUUUAAUUCGACGCAACGCGAAGAACCUUACCCAGGCUUGAACUGCAGAUGACAUCCUGCGAAAGUAGGCUCCCGCAAGGGCAUCUGUAGAGGUGCUGCAUGGCUGUCGUCAGCUCGUGUCGUGAGAUGUUGGGUUAAGUCCCGCAACGAGCGCAACCCUUGUCUUCUGUUGCCAUCGGGUUAUGCCGGGCACUCUGAAGAGACUGCCGGUGACAAACCGGAGGAAGGUGGGGAUGACGUCAAGUCAGCAUGGCCUUUAUGUCUGGGGCCACACACGUGCUACAAUGGCCGGUACAAACCGUCGCGAUACCGUAAGGUGGAGCUAAUCGGAGAAAGCCGGUCUCAGUUCGGAUUGUAGGCUGCAACUCGCCUGCAUGAAGUUGGAAUCGCUAGUAAUCGCGGAUCAGCACGCCGCGGUGAAUACGUUCCCGGGCCUUGUACACACCGCCCGUCACAUCACGAAAGCUGGCUGUACUAGAAAUCGCUGAGCGAACCCGCAAGGGACGCAGGCGCUUAAGGUAUGGUCAGUGAUUGGGGUG
rnacentral:rRNA from 1 species